rnacentral:lncRNA from 1 species
CGGGGUUUCGAUUGGCAUUCGGGGUAAUGAGUGCCUAUCGGGACGUCACGACAGUUGUCACGGGCCCGAUGAGAGUUUCGAGUUGUGACAAUACUGAUCAAGUGUACAUAUAUUGUCUAAACGUACAAUUUAAUAAUUUACAUCACUUGUACAUAUUUACAACAAAAUGACUCUGUGUUUCCAGCGGAGUGACCAUAAUGAAGGUGUAGCUAUGGAAUGCCAUUGAUACCUACCAAAGGUACGAAUCUACGAGGUCACCUUGACCUAGUUAUCGGCUGCCUCUUGAUCUGAAAACAUGAAGUUGAAAACGGUGAGUAUAAACCCAGUGAGUGAACAAGAAUGGGAACAAGCAAACAAUAAGGAAUGUUUAACGAAAUCAUGAUGCAUUCAUUUUUCAAAACAAUGCAAUUUAUUUUAGUUCUUAUUAAAACCCCUCAUGUACCCCACAUGAGUAAAUCACCUUAUAAAAAGGAUCCAUGUUCAACAAAGGGUUUGGAGAGUGAAAACUUUAAUAGCAUUAAUGCGAAUCAAGUCAAAUAAACGACGGGUCCUUGUUACAGGGGAAAGGAGCGAGAAUAAAUUUUUGCUGCAGCGACACUUGACUAAAAUUAUCAACUAGCUGAGGGUUUCUUAAAUGGCCGAGGGUUUCUCACCAAACCUUCUUAAUUUAAACUUAAUUCAUUUAUUCCUUAAUGUUGGAAGUUUAUGCUCAACUAUGGUAUCAAAGAAAUGGAAAAUAGGGCAACAACCGAACCAAAUGAGGAGCAAAACAGAAAGUUUUUUGCUGUAGCGAGAUUCAACCUUGUUGCAGAGAAAUUUUUGGUCUCAAAACAAAAAGUUUCUCAUUGCAGCGAGAAGCUAUAGUAACAUUCUCCCUACAGCGAGAUUUUUGGGCAGCCUUACCCCUCUAACUUGAGAGUUUCUCACUGCAGCGAGAAACAGAGCAAUGAGAAAAAAUUUCCUUCCUUUCAAGAAAAAGCCAUCCUGUUGAAAUGACAAAUUCAACAUAAAACACAUAAAGGUUUCCAAAGUUCAACAUGCCAAAUUCAUAUGCAUUUCAACCAUAAACCAUACACAUGAGUUUUCAUUCUCUAAACAUAUAUAUACAUAUACAUACAUGGAUAAAUACCAAUACCAUUAUCAUCACAUCUAGCUCAUGUGCAUCCCCCCAUAUCGUGCACAUAGCCGGAGUCAUCAUGUGCAUCCCCCCACAUCGUUCACAAUCAGUGCCAUCAUCCCCCCACAUCCUGCACACACACGGUUAUAAUUCUCACACAAUAUC